UUUCUUUCUGCUUACAACCUACCCCUCUCUCCCUCUUGAUUGUGCAUGUCGGAUCCCUAUCAUCCGCGCACUUCAUACAAUUAGGGUUCAAUCUUUCUAAAUUCUUUUCCCAACAACGAACUUCAUUCCAUUAUUGAAAUUAUCAGCCCUUCACUGAGAUCAUAAACAAUGGAAAACGACAACAACGCCACCACAAACACCACCGGCAUCGUAUCCAUGGAGAACCUCAAUCAGGUUGCCAACUGGGUUAGCGCCACCGUGAUCUCCGCCUUCUUCUCGUCCCUCGAGCGUUUUUCUUGCGUUAAUGUUGCUACCACCGACCCCGACGACGAUGAUAAUGAAGAUGAGGCCAAGGACAGUCCUCUCGCUCUCACCACCAACCCCCAUCAACGCGACGAUGUCUCUGACCUCCCAGUUUGAUUAUCCAAUCAAAAAUUCCCCUCGCUAUUUGUGGUAUCGCUUCCCUGCUUAUCCCCUCUCAAAACCCCAAGGCCCCCAAGUUUCAACAUUUGUGUUUUGUUUGUGGAUUUUCUGGGUUUUAUUAAUACAAAUCGUUAUACCGUGAUUAUUGUUAUAAUGAUUGUUACCCUUAUGAAGUUUGAAUUCGUUUCUGUCAUGUGAGGCUCAUUGCUUAAUUGAGCUUCUUCUACAUUGGUGUGUUUCGAUGAUUUAGUUUUCUUUUUACUAUAUAUAAACGUGCCUAUUCUAGAGUUAAAUAUUUUGACGAUAAUUGUCUCUCUGUCCUUCUCGAGAUG
rnacentral:misc_RNA from 1 species